UACGUAGGGGGCAAGCGUUGUCCGGACUUACUGGGCGUAAAGCGCGUGCAGGCGGAUUGGUAUGUGCCGUGUGAAAGCUCCCGGCUUGCCUGGGAGAGGUCGCGGUAGACAGUCGAUCUGGAGGCUCGGAGAGGUCAGUGGAAUUCCCGGUGUAGAGGUGAAAUUCGUAGAUAUCGGGAGGAACACCGGUGGCGAAGGCGGCGACCUGGGUCGAUACUGACGCUGAGGUGCGAAAGCGUGGGGAGCAAACAGG
rnacentral:rRNA from 1 species